UCGGCUGCCAUGCCCCCCUUCAUUUCUUUUUUUUUCCCCCCGAAGCUGCAGCAAAUAGCUGUAUAUUCUACUUGUAAGUCCUUCUACAUCUUCCAUGUGAGCUGCUGCCACAGCAUGGCCACUGACAGAGUGGUGUGUUCUGCUCCCAGGUAGCGAACCUGGAACACAGAAGCAGACAAUGUGGAAAUUUACCCACUAGGCCAUUAAAGCUGGCUCCAGAACAUGAACUUUUGAAUUGAGACAAGACAGAAAUAGUCUGAGACCCCUGAAUGAGAUGUUCAAUUCAUCACAGCAAGAGACUUUUGCUUUUAUUUAACUAUAGUCUCUGUAAUCAAUUAUGUUUAGCCAAGAUUAGCUUUCUACAGCCAACUGCAAUUAACAUUCUUUGUAAUGCAAACCUCCAUCUUUUGCCUUUAACAGUCCCUGCAUCUUACUCUCCAAGUGGGACACCAUUUAGGUUGCUACCUGAAUCUGUGUUCCCUGAAUUGCAAUUUUUUGAUCCCAAAAUAAUUGCCUGUCUGCCUUUCAUUUUGGCUAUUUCUUUUUAGGUUAACAGAAUGAGACAGACUUAACAGACGUAUUCAGAACGUUCUUCUCAAGUGUACAUGGACCAUUCUCCAGAAUAGAUCAUAUCUUAGGCCAAAAAUAAGUCUUAAUAAAUGUAAGGAGAUUGAAAUCAUAUCAAGUAUCUCUUCUGACCACAGUACUAUGAAAUUAGAAAUCAAUUACAAGAAGAAAACUAGAAAAUUCACAAAUAUAUAUAGAUUAGAAAAAAUGCUCCUGAACAACCAAUGGGUCAAAGAGGAAAAAAGAGAAAUCAAAAAAUAUCUUGGUAUACUGGACGUCAGCAUCAUGGUAGAGAGCUCUCCCAGUGAUCUCUCCUCUCCACAAUACAACUAAAAAGACAUUCGUAUUUCAACAGAGACCAUUCAUGCAACACAAAAGUCAUCUGAGAGACACACUCAGCCAUAUGUCAGAAGGUAGAGGUGCCAGAACCCUCCUUGGUGGAUGGGUAACUAGGUAAGAGAAAGUAGUGCUGCCUCCCCAAAGACCUGGGUAUUGCAAGUGGCUUUCGAGGGGGAAGGCAGCUCCAGCAUCUGGAAUCCCAGUGGAAUGCAGAGGGCUCAGAAUACACAGCUCUUGAACCCUACCCAGAGGUGAUGCAUGGUAAAUAUGACCAAAUAACACCACAAUGCACAAAAACAGAGCCACACAAUCCAGCAGUAUCAAAAAUUAUAUUAAAUCUCCAGAGGAGAAGGAAAAUGACAAGUACACAAAAAUCAAUCCUGAAGACACAGAAUUAUGGAAUCUAAAUGACAGAGAAUUCAAAAUAGCUAUCAUCUUAAAAUUCAAUGAGUUAAAAGAGAAUGUACAGAAACAAUUCGAGGAAUUGAGGAGCUACUUCACAAUAGAGAUUGAAAUUAUAAGAAGAAGCAAUCAGAAGUAUUGGAGAUGAAAGACACAAUGGAUUAGAUAAAACAAAAUAUGGAUUCCCUGAAUGCUCAAGUGGAUAUCAUUGAGGAGUGCAUCAGCAUGAUUGAAGAUAGAUAUAUUGACAUGGUCUAGAUAGAAGAGGAGAGAGACUUAAGACUAAAAUUAAAUGAAAGUCUCAGAGAAAUAUCCAAGUCAAUUAGGAAAUGCAACAUAAGAACUAUAGGUAUUCCACAGGGAGAAGAGGAGAACUGAGCAGAAAGCUUGUGCAAAGAAAUAAUAGCCGAAAGCUUCCCAAACUUGGGGAAAAAGGUGGAAAUCCAGGUGAAAGGCGGUACCAGAUUCCCAAAAAUGUCAAAGUAAGAGGACCUAUUGCAAGGCAUAUAGUAGUAAAACUGGCAAAAGUGAAUGACUAAGAAGAAAUACUAAGGGCAGUGAGGCAUAAGAAAAUAACCUACAAAGGAAUCCCAAUCAGGCUUUCAGCAGAUUUCUGUGCAGAAACCUUAGAGGCUAGGAGAGACUGGAAAGACAUAUUCAAAUCUUUGAAGGACAAAAACUUUCAGCCAAGAAUAUUCCAUCCAGUGAAAAUAACCUUCAGAUAUGAUGGAGAAAUAAAAACGUUCCAAGAUAAACAAAAGCUAAGGGAAUUGGUACCCACAAGACUGCCACACACACAAAUAAAUCCUCAAUAAGGCCCUCAUAACUGAAAAAAAAAGGGAGGAAGGGGUUAUGAAUCCCUGAGUAAGGAGCUAAAUAGGUAGACAAAAAUAAAAAAUUGUAGCUAUAUAUCAGAAUAGGAUAGAAAAUACUCAAGUAUCACAUUAAAGAUAAAGGGAAGGGAAAAAACACCAAAAACAAAAGGAUAAUUUUGUCAUUUUAACCACAUGCUCACAACACAAGAGGGAAUAAGAUGUGACAAGAACAACAUAGAUGGGGAAGUGGAAGGGGACUGAAUUGGUUUAGUCUAAGAAAAUAAGAGGCAAUCAGAAAAUAGACUAUCUUAUCUGUGAGAUUUUGCAUACAAACCUCAUGGUAACCACUAAAGAAAAAAGUAGAACACAGAUACAAAUAAUAAAUAAGGAGAUAAUAAAGAAACUCAACAUAAAAAGCUACAUAACUCAAUUGGUGAACUGAAACACAUGGGACGAGAAACAAAGAAAAUGCAGGAGAACCAGAAAAUGAAUCAUAUAAUGGCAGCAUUGAGCCCUCAUAUAUUGAUAAUCACCCUAAAUGUAAAUGGAUUGAAUUCUCCAAUAAAAAGACAGAGUGAUGAGAUGAAUUAAAG
rnacentral:lncRNA from 1 species